AGAUUGAACGCUGGCGGCAUGCCUAACACAUGCAAGUCGAACGGGAGUAGCAAUACUCUAGUGGCGGACGGGUGAGGAAUACGUAGGAAUUUGCCCUUAAGUGGGGGAUAACCCGGGGAAACCCGGAUUAAUACCGCAUGACCUCGAAAGAGCAAAGUGGGGGAUCGCAAGACCUCACGCUUUUGGAGAAGCCUACGUCGGAUUAGCUAGUUGGUGAGGUAAUGGCUCACCAAGGCGACGAUCCGUAACUGGUCUGAGAGGAUGAUCAGUCACACCGGAACU
rnacentral:rRNA from 1 species